rnacentral:rRNA from 1 species
UGGGGCCUACGGGAGGCAGCAGUAGGGAAUCUUCCACAAUGGGCGAAAGCCUGAUGGAGAAACGCCGCGUGGGUGAAGGAGCGUUUCGGCGCGUAAAGCCCUGUCAGCGGGGAAGAAGAAAGACGGUACCCGACCAAGAAGCCCCGGCUAACUACGUGCCAGCAGCCGCGGUAAUACGUAGGGGGCGAGCGUUAUCCGGAAUUACUGGGUGUAAAGGGAGCGUAGACGGCGAGGUAAGCCUGAAGUGGAAGCCCGCGGCCCAAC